CCCUUAGAUGUUCUGGGCUGCACACGUGCUACACUGGCAGGUUCAGCGAGCUUCAUGCCCUGAUCUGAAAGGAAUGGGAAAUCUUUUCAAAACCUGCCGUGCUUGGGAUAGAUGUUUGCAAUUAUUCAUCUUCAACGAGGAUUGCCUUGUAAGCGCACGUCAUCAGCGUGCAUUGAAUACGACCCUGUAUUCUGUACACACCGCCCGUCGCUCCUACCGAUUGAAGUUUUCGGUGAGUUGACAGGAGGAUUUUUUUGAAACUGGAUCGCCAGUGGAUUUUAGAUCCAAAUGCCAACGAAUCGAUGGCUUUAGAGGAAGGAGAAGUCGUAACA
rnacentral:rRNA from 1 species